rnacentral:rRNA from 1 species
UACGUAGGGGGCAAGCGUUGUCCGGAAUUAUUGGGCGUAAAGAGCGCGUAGGCGGUCCGAUAAGUCGGCUGUGAAAGUCAGGGGCUCAACCCUUGGAAGCCGGCCGAUACUGUCGGACUAGAGUCCGGAAGAGGCGAGUGGAAUUCCCGGUGUAGCGGUGAAAUGCGCAGAUAUCAGGAGGAACACCGAUGGCGAAGGCAGCUCACUGGGACGGUACUGACGCUGAGGCGCGAAAGCGUGGGGAGCAAACGGG